rnacentral:rRNA from 1 species
UACAGAGGGGGCAAGCGUUGCUCGGAAUUACUGGGCGUAAAGGGCGCGUAGGCGGGAUGGCAAGUCGGUCGUGAAAUCCCUCGGCUCAACCGAGGAACGUCGAUCGAUACUGCUGUUCUUGAGGAUUGCAGAGGAGACUGGAAUUCCCGGUGUAGCGGUGAAAUGCGUAGAGAUGCGGAGGAACACCGAUGGCGAAGGCAGCCCCCUGGGCUAACACUGACGCUCAGGCACGAAAGCGUGGGGAGCAAACAGG